rnacentral:miRNA from 1 species
AGACUGUUAGAAACACAUAUGCUUGGGCCUCACCCCCACGUACUUGAAUUGAACUCCCUGGGAGUGGGGUCCAGGAAUCUGCAUUUUAACAAGCUUUCCAGGUGAUUCUGACGCAU